GACGAACGCUGGCGGCGUGCUUAACACAUGCAAGUCGAACGGUGAAAGCGGAGCUUGCUCCGCUGGAUCAGUGGCGAACGGGUGAGUAACACGUGGGCAACCUGCCCCUCACUUCGGGAUAACUCCGGGAAACCGGGGCUAAUACCGGAUAUGACCUCCUUGGGCAUCCUUGGAGGUGGAAAGUUUUUCGGUGAGGGAUGGGCCCGCGGCCUAUCAGCUUGUUGGUGAGGUAGUGGCUCACCAAGGCGACGACGGGCAGCCGGCCUGAGAGGGCGACCGGCCACACUGGGACUGAGACACGGCCCAGACUCCUACGGGAGGCAGCAGUGGGGAAUAUUGCGCAAUGGGCGAAAGCCUGACGCAGCAACGCCGCGUGCGGGAUGACGGCCUUCGGGUUGUAAACCGCUUUCAGCAGGGAAGAAGCCGCAAGGUGACGGUACCUGCAGAAGGAGCACCGGCUAACUACGUGCCAGCCGCCGCGGUAA
rnacentral:rRNA from 1 species